UUUCCUGACACAUCUUUUUCUUUUUGGAUCCCCAAAAAAAAUUUACACAUGCAAGAAAUUAAUACAAGUGAUUCUCAAGCCUUUGCUAAGCUUCUUGGAAAGAUAUGCAACUUCUUAAGACUUGUUUAAGCCUCAAAAUAAUUUUUUGAUAGGACAAAGACACAUGUUUUAGUUCUUCUUCUAUUUGCUUGCUAUAAACAACUUCCAACAAUAGGUUUUUCUGUAUCGGAUGGAAACAUGUAUUUAUUCGUUGCGUUGUCUUAUUCAUGUUUAUCGCUGCCUUUAGAUCUUCUGCUUCUUCUUUUCUCAAGAAUCUGAGGAUUUUGUCUAUCUUUGAUUCAGGCAGAAAGAGGUUAUGAAACAUGUAGCUAUUAUGAAUCCAAGUUGAAGCAAAUCCUACAGUUCGCCUUCAUUGAUAUCAUCAUCAGCUUAAUGGCAGUGUUUGCAGUUUUCAUAGCACAGCGAGAUCUGAAAGGCCAUGCAAACGAAUUGCACCUUCUCAUCUGCGGCUACCUCACCACCUGCAGUCUUCUCUGUGGGGUAACCCUAAUGUUCUUCACCAUCAAUUUGCUAAGUCGCAAGAAUCAGAGUGUCCAAAGAGGCCAGCAUACGACCACCGUUUUCCUACUCGUCAUUUCAUGCGCUCUCCUCAUCCUUACAGCAGCUGGUUUCUCAACUCUCCUCCAUAAACGCUCUAUGUUUCUGGCAGCCCUGCUUCCGGGAUGUUUGCUUCUCGGCACCCUCCUCUACUUCAUAUUCCACGCAGGCGAUGAUCAUGAUCAGAAUUCCACAGGAUAUGGAAGCUAUAAAUCAGAGCUGAAACAUUCGUUGGGUCUCUCAUCCACUGUUGUCUCCCUUGCAUUCAGUGGGCUGAUAACUACUCUUAUUGGGACCGCUAAAAGUAAUUCGGAUCAAGCCCUUACCAUAAACACGAAAAUCUGCAUCUUUCAGAUGUUCUUCGCCGCCAUGUUCGGCCUUCUGUUGAUGCUGCUCAGCUCAGUCCCACCGAGCUUCAAGCAGCAAAGCACCAGGGAGUUCCUUACCAAGCUCCUCAAAGCACUCAGCUACUCUCUGCUGGGCUCAUUGGCACUCAUAGCCGCUACGGCGGCUUCUGCUUUCCUUGACGUCUUCCUUGUACUGGUUCUCCUGCCGACACCAUUUCUUGGAGUCACUCUUUGGUUCUGCAUAGAGUGGCACAGCACCCAGAAACAGCCGCACGGACCGCGCACUACUACCAACGUUGGUCAUGAUCUCAAGCUCAAACUCAUUUCCAAGGUCGGUACUACCACGACAUCCAUCAGCUUCGGAGGUCUUACGGGCGCCUUCUCAGGAUUUAUCGGCAGAAAAGGCAGUGAAUUGCAGCUCAAGAUCUGCGUGCUGGUGAUGUUCUUCGCAUUUCUGUCCAGUUUCAGCGUGAAGCUGCUCACUUUCAGUACUCCAAAGCCAGGAACUCUGAUGACAGUUAUCAAAUCCUUAAGCACUUGCUCUGUCUUGCUGCUCCUAUUCUCUGCCAUUAUCGUCUUCUUCCUCGAGUUCCUGGGUGGCUGAGCACAACGAAAAUUACUACUUACUUGCUGCUCGGGGAAAUGCUCAUGUCACGUUGAAGUCAGUGGGAUUCGGUCAUAUCCUGAGAGAUCAGAUGGAAUGUGAACAUUGCAUUUGAUUACAGUGUAAGUUUCUUUUUUACUUUUAGAAAAAAAGCUAGAGAAUUUGAUUACAGCAUUAGUUGUUGUCAUCACAAAAACACCCCAGCAUGGCCCAUAUGGUUUUAGGGCUUGUCCAUAAAUAGCAUAAGAUUGAUGCAUUGAUUGCUCACUGUGUGCCCACAUGACUUCCAGAGACUUGUAGGGUUCAUAGAGAUGUGGUCCAUAUGUUUGAACUUUGGUUUGGCCAGCUCUAUAAAAAUUCGAUUUUCAUAAAAAAAAAAAAUUAUAAUCACAUAUGAAAAUGAUAAAUUAAAUUUAUUUUUGCGACAUCAUUUAGACUUCUUAUGUUUCUUUUAUCAUGUGAUCAGAGCAAAAUAAUCAAUUUUAAAAAUAGUUUCAAAUUAAGGAGCUUACAAAUAAAAAUAAAAAUUGAUACAUUCUAAUUCUAAUUCUAAUUUAAAAUGAUAAAUUCUAUUAUCUCUCUUUUUCCAUAUUCAUCCUUUAGUUCUUUUAUUUUUUUAUAUUAUUAUUAUAUUAUCGAUCAAUGUCUGUAGCCUCCUUUACAUCCUAAGCAUUAUCUUUUAUUUGGAGAUGGAUUUCUAAUAGUGUGUGCUCAUGUUCUUCCUCUACCAACCUUUCAUAAUGUCUAUUUUGUGUAUCACAUCAAUAUCUUUAGGCUUUUCAUACUCUUCUCUUGCCACCUCUGUCCUCUCGUGGAAAAUCCAAAACUACAUGGAUUUUCCAUCUUUCUACAAUAUUUACAAACAGAUCGGUUCCAUAGAAUGUGUUCCUGAUGAAUAUAUGUAUCGAUAAAGCAUGAGAUUGCAAGAAUCUAAUGGAAAAUAUGUUAGGUUUCCGAUUGCAAGGUGCCUAUUACGGUGGUAUGUUUCAGAAAAAUGGUUACUUCCUAGCAAAACCUGUGGAUGACAGUGCUAUCGAGAUGGAAAGGCAGAAGUGAAAGCAUAAGAUGCUAACCUCGAAGUCCGGAAGAAGUCUAUCGUUACAUAUAUCCAAGAUCGGAGCAGUUCAUGUGGAAGAUGGACGACAGUUCCCUCAGUAUAUCUGCAGAGAAGCAAGAUGAUCAGCUGCUGUCCCUAUGACUAUCCUGCGAGCUGUACUAGUGAAAUUAUUUGCAUAGAAGAUCUGAUUAGGGGAAAUGAAACUCGAGCGAGGGAGUCUGACCUGAAAGAUGAUGAUGAUGAUACAGUGAUGGUGCGAGCAGUUCUUACCAGAUCUAAGAUGAGUUUUGAGUACUGCCUGCAACCACGGCUAAAUCCAACAAGCAAUACAAAUGAUUUUGAAGGACAGAAGAUGCUCGUCUCAACUUGAUGUAAUGUAUUCUUUCCCUUCUCCAAGCUGUUUAGGUGCAUCUGCAUUUGGCUGGACUAAGAAUUUUCUAUUACCCGUAGUUCAUAAUUAAAGACUGUCAACUAUGUUAUAUAUCAGUUAGUUUAGCUCUUUCUGUCAGUAGCUCACGGACUCGGAAAAAUGAUCCCUACUCCUGUCACUGUUCUCCAUCACAGCUAAGUAGGAAGAAGUGACAACAUAGCAAAAGAGAUGAUCCAAAAUUCAUAAAAGCAUUUCAAAUUAUUAGAAACCCAACUAUGUCUUUAAACAUAUAUUGCUUUUGAGAAACAAUCUUGAUAGUAACAGAGAAAAAUAUGACAAGCUUCAAUCUUCUAUAUUUCUCUCAAGAAAAUUUUUAUAAUUUCAAAAACUCUAUAUCUUUAAUGACCUAACAUAUUGUCACGGACAAACUUCUAAAUAUGAUGUUUGAUAUAAUGCUAUGUAUGUCCGUGUCUUUUGGUAUGUUCAUACUUUGCACCGCAUGUAGAGGGAUGGUCAAAUGCUUAAUAGUCUCAUUUUAAUUGGGUUUGGUGGCUGCUUUAGGCUUAUAAAUAAAUGUUAUGUCAUGUGGACACUUGUGAGAGAUUUUCGAUCUGUAGUGGACCAUUUUGAUCAUUUGUUGUGUAACUGUUCAGAGCUUGUAAAGUCUGUUUGUAAUUUGAAUUAUCUAUGAAGUGUUUAUUGAAAUGUUUGCUUGUGGAUCCCAAGUGAGACGCUUUCUCUAACUCGUUUUCUCUUUUGUAGGUCCUAAGGGACCAUGGGAGGUUUCGGGGAGACUGAUCUUUGCGGACGAACACGCAAGGGUGCCGCACGACUUAGGCAAAAUUAACUAAGUCUGUGAUAAUACGGGGUUUAUAUAGUCCACAAAUAUACAUUACAUUAAUCGUAUUCAAGAUGAAUCAUUCUCUUUCAACAAACCCUUUCAAGAACCAAUAAACAAUUUGACUUAUCCUUUCCUAGACUUUUAAUAUAUUUUUUCUUAACGAAUCUCAAACUUUUCUUUUAAUGAAAUGAAUAUCUUUAUGACACUUGAACAAAUUUAAUUCCAACAGAAAAACCUAAUCAACUGCAUUCUUUCUUUGAAAAUUUCUUCUCCACUUGAUAUGAGAUGAUAACUAGCUAUCUCAUUAAUCAACGAUCGUCCAAAGUUGAUGGAUAUCAUGACCUUCGUCGGAACAAUUUUAAUCAUAAAAUAUUUACUCCAGUUACUAGUAUUUUUUGAACAAUCUUCUUUAUAUCUUCCGAAACGACUUCUUUAUAUCUCGCUCAAGUUUCAGGUCAGACUCUCUCGCUCAAGUCAUUACUAGUAGUUUUUGAACAAUCUUCUCCUAUAUUUUUUUUGAUAUCUUCCAGGAACGACUUCUUUCCAUUUGAUAUCGACAAGUGUUUCAGAUCGGACAGUUGAAUCAUCUCUAACAUCUCAAGACUCCAUUUGCGGCACCGAUGACUCUGCUCUUCCUGGAUUUCAUCGUCGUCGGUAUGCCCCAACUCCAACUUCACUACGCUAUCGCCGUGCGAGAUUUCCAGCCCGCCACAAGGAGCUGUCGUGAUCAGCAGGCCACAAGUAGCAACUUCGGAAGCACUUCUUCUUCCCGUCCGUCGCUAAUCUAUCAUAAUGAAUUCUAUAGUGAGAAAAGUAUGACGGAUCCAUUGUCGAGGAAGACUGAAGCCACUCAAUCGGGGCGCGGUGCGGUGCGGUGCGGUGGAUUGGAUCUGCGGGAGCGCACUGCGGGCCAUGUGCUCGACGCCUCGAUCGGGGCGCGCAUUGCCAUGCCUUCUCCUCCUCCUCCUCCCUCCUGCCUGUCCUCGUUGGCAGGCGGAUCCCAAAUAUGCCGGUAUAUAAAUUUAAUUUCCACUGUUUGUGUUCUUCGGCUUGUCUUGUUUGGACUCGCUGCGUCGAUCGCGUCGCCCGCACCGCGAGAGAGAUAGAGAGACGGUGGUUGUCAUCGGACGGUCCGUGUUGUGUCUCAAAGCCAUUUUGUUCCCCCUCUCAUCUUAAACCUUUUGGAUUAAAUUAAACCGCUAGGAAUUUAACUAUCGUUGGGUUCGGUGUGGCGAUGGUUAGCAUGAGCUAGAGAUAUAAGAAUAUAACGACCUAAACCAUUGAUCAAGUUAUUUAAGUUUCAAUUUGUAAUGAUAUAUUCAUCAAAUUUUAAUAAAUUAAUAUAUAAAGACGUUACAUUUAUAAACCUGAAUCAUUUAUAUAAAAUAUUUAAAUCUAAAAGCAGUAGGUAGAACUGGAGGAAGAAGACAAUGGCGGCGAAUUGGAGAAACAAGACGAAUGCUUAAGAUUUUGAUAACUCUCAUCAUAGUUCCUGCCUUUGGAGUCAUGAAAGUAAGCAGCUUCAAAGCUAAAAGUCUAUUAAUCAGUAUCUCUCUCUCAUCUUUCUAUUUUAGUUCAUAGAAAGACCUAAAACCCAGGUGUUGCCUCACAUCAAAUGGUAGAUUACAGAUCGAUUCAAGACAGAUCAUCUUUUUAGAACAACCCCAAGUCACUCAAAGCUGAUUUGCAGCCAAGAAUGCAUUGAAAGUGAUCAUGAAAGAUACAUCUCUUUGGUAUAAACUUAAUUUUUUUUUCAUUUAAUAUUCUUCAUCUACAGCAUCUGUAACCACAAACAUUGUGUUGGCACCAAUCACCUAUAUAUGAGAUAAGAUUCUAUGUAAAUCUUCUAAAGAAGUUCGAAACCACACAUACCAACUCGGCACAGUAUCUGUGUCAAUAGUAGAAGAUAUCCACGAGCAGAAUGAAUGAAUGAACAGAAGGAAGGAGCUUUGAGCAAACCUGUUGAGGAAGAGAAGGCGAAUGAAUGAAGCCAAGCUUUCCUGUUGGUUGAUGCGGAGUCGCGUCUUACCUUCUUAGCUGUCGAUUACUAGCAUGGAGAGAGGGAGACAAGGAAAGACGUAGGAUUCGCACUAAUCAGACUAUCAAUGGCUCUAAUAACUUUAUUAGAUCAUUCUAGAUUUGAUUACUCUAGAUUUGGAUGAUCUAAACUCACAGGUUACCUAUCCACCUAAGAUACCAUGCAUGCUUAUUUAUAGACUUCAAAAAAUAACUAAAACCAAGAAGAGAUCAUUGUCUUAUCAAUCUAAAUCCCUCUGAUACAGCAAUGUUUUUUUUUUUUGUCUUCCUUUUACAUUUUCUGUAAAAGCCAUCCCCUAACAUCCGUUUUCGUAUUACCUCUUCCUAAGAAUUAAAAGUCAUAUUUAGUCCUCCGGCAUUAAACUUUGUUUUGUAAGUAGGCUUCAUCCCAUUUGGAUGCAGCAUUCGAAGCAGCUCCAUUGUGGCCAUGGAUCAAAGGAGUUGUGAAGGGCCCAGGAUCCAUCAAAAACACAACAACUGCUACCGAGGGAUUUGGAUGAGGGAGCCAUUCAUCUGCUUCGUGAUCGACACACAACAAUUGCAAGUGCAGCCAUUAAGCUUUCCUAGAUUUCCUCCUUAAAACCAUAAGGCUACACUGAUAUGUCGUAUACGGUGGUCAGGUCUCUCGGAACAUAAAAUACAAGAAACUUAUACCUUUCUUUUAACUUCCAGAACAUAAAAUAAACGACUCGUCAAGAUGAGAAGACAGCAACUCUCCCUUCGCUUGCAACCACAACUAAAUCCAGCAAACAAAACAUACGAGAUGUAUGGGAAAGAUAUUUAGACUUGUCUGAAAGAUAAGUCAAGUCAACUCUCCCUUCUCCAAGCUGUCAUCUUGGUUUUAAUGCACAGCUGCGUCAUCCGAUUCUCUAUUUCUCUGGAUCAGAUCGAUGCAUUCAACCCCAUCACAGUUUUUCUUUAGUCAUGUGGGCACACAGUGAGCAAUAUAUCAAUACAUAUGGGAAGCAAUUUCACCUGUGUGCAUGCAUAUGGGAAGCAAAAAUAGUACAAAUCAAAUCUUGCAGAUUGUCGAGGACAAACAUGUAUAGAAAACUAGGAAGUAGCAGAAUUGUAAUGGAGAAGACGACACAAUACUCUUUGUGCCAAAGCCUUCAAGACCAGCGGGAUUGUUCAUCGAUGCAUUGCUUCAGUGAGAUGAUUGAUCGAUGAGUGCAAUGGCCACCGGAGUUGGCAGAAUUGACAAACCAACCGACUCAGCAGCCGCCAUAUCUGACCGAUCUUUUUCUCCGUACGUUGGAUUCUAAUUAAAGAAUAGGUGAGUUUCGGAUGGAUCUAUUUGGAUCAUACCUUAAUCGAAUAAAUAUCUCUCGGUCCAAACUUGGCGCGUGGACCGACCGGAUCGAAUCUGAGUUAGAUUGGACCAAAUGUUACGAUAUCACACGUACUAUUGAAGUAGCCGUAGAUCCGAUCAAUAUUUAAUUUAAAUCAGAACAAAACUAGAAUAAUAAAAAACUAGAAUCGAAUCGGAUCGAUAUAAAUUAAUGGAAUCUGAUUAAAUAAAAAAAAAAUCUGAAUAUCCCUACAAAAAAAGACAAUUGAAUCGAGUGAUCAAAUCGAAAAAAUUGAGAACUAAAUCACUAAUCAAUUUGAUUGGCUUAUCAGACGAUUUUGUUAAAAAACAAAAAAAUAAACAAAAUGAAUGAGUUUUGCAUAACCCACACAAAAUAAUAAGAUUAUUUAAUUACCCUUACCUUAAUUCAUUUUAGAGUCUCUCUCCUUUCGUCCUUAUCUCUUCCUCGGACUACCUCUCACAUCGCCUCGUCUCUUGUGUCUUCACUUCGUCUCAUCCUCAGCUAUCACUUCUCUUUUAUAUGUUGCUCUCCAUCUUUUAUUUAUUUAUCUUCUUUUCUUAAUUUAUGGUCCACUCCUCUACGUAUAAAAUCCUUACUUGAUAAUCGAAUUACAUUUUUUAAUUUUUAAAUAUUAUCAUAUAUUAUUUAAUUUAAAUAAAGAUUUAUGUUUAGGAGGAUAGUUAAUAUUAUCAAUCUUAUAUUUUCUAUUUUUCUAAGAUUAUUCUUUUUUUACUAAUUUUGGCAUAUUAUAUUUUUAUUAAUAAUUUUUUUAAAAAUAAACUAACCAUAUAAUAUAUAUAUAUAUAUAUUAAAUUAAAUUAAAUUGAUUUUAUUUUUAUUUUAUUUAAAAAUAUAUUUAAAAUUAUAAAUCGAUUAACUAACUGGUUAAUCAGAAUGGAGUAAUAAGUUUUGAAAUGAAUCGAAUCCAAAAAAACCCAAUUGGAUUCGGUUCGGAUCUGAACACCCGGAAACUGGCUGAUCUGCCGACAUUGUGUUGUCAUCCCCGUCAACGUGGAUCAGGCCAUCAAACUAACGUGCACAUCUUCCGUGCAUCCGACGGCAAGGAAGCUGACAUGAUCACCUGCGUAGGAAUGAAGCUUCCUCGAAUUGGUUUGACCAAAGAAACUUUUCAGUCAACGUGAAGAUAAUUAUUGAUUCGAUCAUCUUAUUUGAAAUUUGAGAGAUGAAAAAAUUCGAUUCUAUUUAUGAUUUUAUUAAUUGGGCUCAUUAAAUUAUUUAUUUAUUCAUUUAAUCUAAAUUAAUUAUUUUUGUAUAUUGUUGUCGGCUCGCCAUUAGAGAAAUAGAGAGAGAGAGAGAGAGACGAGAGGAUAUAUAUUUUUUGGGACGAAACGUUGACGAAGCUACAGUACAGAAGAAAAGAGAGACCGCGGAGGAAGCGUUCUCCAUUUUGCUUCCUCUCUUUCACCGACGAAGCAGGAAGAAGAAGAAGGAUCAGGAGACUUCCCUCCCUCACUCCUUAUACACGAAAACCAGAUCAUAAUCAGAUACCAGAUCAUAUCUGUCACUGCUUUCACCACUCCACCCUCUCUUGAACUCAGCUCUCGCCUUAUCGGUCGAAAUCUGCAUGAUGAAUCCAGCAUCAGAGUUUCCCUCAAGUCCUCAGGUUGUUGUCUUCUCAUCCCUUCUUCUUCUUCUUCUGCAACCAAACCGGAGAAGUUCUCUCUCACGGAUCUGCUCGCUCUUUCACAAACACCACUCCUACUCCAUCCUCUUCUUCACUGAUCUCAUGUUUGAUUGUCUCGCAGCAACACCAAACCACUGUUACUUCCACGACCGAGAUCCAGUCGCGCCCAAUAAUCGAUGACAUGUUUCAGAACUCAUGGGAAGCUGUAAACACUCAGUUCCUUCUCAGCAUAAUAUGAAUCACUGUUUAUUAUUUCUGCUUUUUUUUUUCCUUGAAUUUCCUGACACAUCUUUUUUCUUUUUGGAUCCCCCAAACAAAUUUACAUAUGCAAGAAAUUAAGCUUCUUGGGAAGAUAUGCAACUUCUCAAGAAUUGUUUAAGCCUCAAAAUAAAUUUUUGAUAGGACGAAAACAAAUGUUUUAGUUCUUCUUCUAUUUGCUUGCUAUAAACAACUUCCAACAAUAGGUUUUUCUGUAUCGGAUGGAAACAUGUAUUUGUUCGUUGCGUUGUCUUCUUCAUGUUUAUCGCUACCUUUAGGUCUUCUACUUCUUCUUUUCUCAAGAAUCUGAGGAUUUUGUCUAUCUUUGAUUCAGGCAGAAAGAGGUUAUGAAACAUCUAGCUAUUAUGAAUCCAAGUUGAAGCAAAUCCUACAGUUCGCCUUCAUUGAUAUCAUCAUCAGCUCAAUGGCACUGUUCGCAGUUUUCAUAGGACAGCGAGAUCUGAAAGGCCGUGCAAACGAAUUGCACCUUCUCAUCUGCGGCUUCCUCACCACCUGCAGUCUUCUCUGUGGGGUAACCCUAAUGUUCUUCACCAUCAAUUUGCUAAGUCGCAAGAAUCACAGUGUCCAAAGAGGCCAGCAUAUGACCACCGUUUUCCUCCUCGUCAUUUCAUGCGCUCUCCUCAUCCUUACAGCAGCUGGUUUCUCAACUCUCCUCCAUAAACGCUCCAUGUUUCUGGCAGCCCUGCUUCCGGGAUGUUUGCUUCUCGGCACCCUCGUCUACUUCAUAGUCCACGCAGGGGAUGAUCAUGAUCAGAAUUCCACAGGAUAUGCGAGCUAUAAAUCAGAGCUGAAACACUCGUUGGGUCUCUCAUUCACUGUUGUCUCCCUUGCAUUCAGUGGGCUGAUAACUACUCUUAUUGGGACCGCUAAAAGUCAUUCGGAUCAAGCCCUUACCAUAAACACGAAGAUCUGCAUCUUUCAGAUGUUCUUCGCCGCCAUGUUCGGCCUUCUGUUGAUGCUGCUCAGCUCAGUCCCACCAAGCUUCAAGCAGCAAAGCACCAGGGAGUUCCUUACCAAGCUCCUCAAAGCACUCAGCUACUCUCUGCUGGGCUCAUUGGCACUCAUAGCCGCUACGGCGGCUUCUGCUUUCCUUGACGUCUUCCUUGUACUGGUUCUCCUGCCGACACCAUUUCUUGGAGUCACUCUUUGGUUCUGCAUAGAGUGGCACAGCACCCAAAAACAGCCGCACGGACCGCGCACUACUACCAACGUUGGUCAUGAUCUCAAGCUCAAACUCAUUUCCAAGGUCGCUACUACCACGACAUCCAUCAGCUUCGGAGGUCUUAUGGGCCUCUUCUCAAGAUUUAUCGGCAGAAAAGGCAGUGAAUUGCAGCUCAAGCUCUGCGUGCUGGUGAUGUUCUUCGCAUUUCUGUCCAGUUUCAGCGUGAAGCUGCUCACUUUCAGUACUCCAAAGCCAGGAACUCUGAUGACAGUUAUCAAAUCCUUAAGCACUUGCUCUGUCUUGUUGCUCCUAUUCUCUGCCAUUAUCGUCUUCUUCCUCGAGUUCCUGGGUGGCUGAGCACCACGAAAAUUACUACUUACUUGCUGCUCGGGAAAAUGCUCAUGUCAUGUUGAAGCCAGUGGGAUUCGGUCAUAUCCUGAAAGAUCACAUGGAAUGUGACCAUUGCAUUGGAUUACAGUGUAAGUCUUUUUAUUUGAGAAAAAAGCUAGAGAAUUUGAUUACAGCAUCAGUUGUUGUCAUCAAAAAAACAUCCGAGACAUGGCCCAUAUGGUUUUAGGGCUUGUCCAUAAAUAACAUAAGAUUGAUGUAUUGAUUGCUCACUGUGUGCCCACAAGACUUCCAGAGACUUGUAGGGUUCAUAGAGAUGUGGUCCAUAUGUUUGAACUUUGGCUUGGCCAGCUCUAUAAAAAUUCGAUUUUGAUUAAAAAAAAUAUAAUCACAUAUUAAAAUGAUAAAUUAAAUUUAUUUUUGCGACAUCAUUUAGACUUAUCUUUCUUUUAUCAUGUGAUCAGAGCAAAAUCAUCAAUUUAAAAAAAUAGUUUCAAAUUAAGGAGCUUACAAAUAAAAAUAAAAAUUGAUACAUUCUAAUUCAACUUCGUUCUAUUUAUUUAAAAUGAUCUCUUCUAUUAUCUCUCUUUUUCCAUAUUCAUCUUUUAGUUCUUUUAUUUCUUAUAUUAUUAUUAUAUUAUCGAUCAAUGUCUGUUAGCCUCCUUCACAUCCUAAGCAUUAUCUUUUAUUCGGAGAUGGAUUUCGAAUAGUGUGUGCUCAUGUUCUUCCUCUACUAACCUUUCAUAAUGUCUAUUUAGUGUAUCACAUUAAUAUCUUUAGGCUUUUCAGACCCUUCUCUUGCAACCUCUGUCCACUCGUUUCACUGGUCGCUUACAGUACAUGCCCUAGAAAAAAAAAGGCUCAUACUCCAAAACUACAUGGAUUUUCCAUCUUUCUACAAUAUUUACAAACAGAUUGGUUCCAUAGAAUGUGUUCCUGAUGAAUAUAUGUAUCGAUAAAGCAUGAGAUUGCAAGAAUCUGAUGGAAAAAAUGUUAGGUUUCUGAUUGAAAGGUGCCUAUUACGAUGGUAUGUUUCAGAAAACUGGUUACUUCCUAGCAAAACCUAUGUAUGACAGUGCUAUCGUGAUGGAAAGGCAGAAGCGAAAGCACAAGAUGCUAACCUCGAAGUCCGGAAGAAGUCUCUCGGAGCAGUUCAUGUGGAAGAUGGACGACAGUUCCCUCAAUAUAUCUGCAGAAAAGCAAGAUGAUCAGCUGCUGUCCCUGUGACUAUCCUGCGAGCUGUACUAGUGCAAUUAUUUGCAUAGAAGAUCUGAUUAGGGGAAAUGAAACUCGAGCGAGGGAGUCUGACCUGAAAGAUGAUGAUGAUGAUACAGUGAUGGUGCGAGCAGUUCUUUCCAGAUCUAAGAUUAGUUUUUAGUACUGCUUGCAACCACGGCUAAAUCCAACGAGCAAUACAAAUGAUUUUGAAGGACAGAAGAUGCUCGUUUCAACUUGAUGUAAUGUAUUCUUUCCCUUCUCCAAGCUGUUUAGGUGCAUCUGCAUUCGGGCUGGAUUAAGAAUUUUCUAUUACCCAUAGUUCAUAAUUAAAGACUGUCCACUAUAUUAUACAUCAGUUAGUUUAGCUCUUUCUGCCAGUAGUUCACAGGAACUAAAAUUACUUUCUCUCACUAGUAGGAACUCGGAAAAAUGAUCCCUACUCCUGUCACUUUGCUCCAUCACAGCUAAGGAGGAAGGAGUGACAACAUACCAGAAAAGAGAUGAUCCAAAAUUCAUAAAAGCAUUUCAAAUUCACAAGAGCAGUGAAAGCAGAGGCCACCUCCGCUUGUGCCUCGAGGAUCACUUGUUUCAUAUUGGUGCAGCCGCUUAGCUUCGGAAUCUUGGACGAUGUAAGUCGAAGGACCGACGAGACGACAGUGAGAAAUCGUCAGCUGUCGAAGGCGACGAAGCAGAUCUUCCGGAAUGACUUCUUUCCAUUUGAUAUCGACGAGUGUUUCAGAUUGGACAGUUGGAUCGUUUUCUAACAUCUCAAGACUCCAUUUGCGGCGCCGAUGACUCUGCUCCUCCUGGAUUUCAUCGUCGUCGGUGUGCCCCAACUCCGACGGCAGUUAAAUUAAAAAUUAUCUAAUGAAGAACAUAAAACUCUUAAACAUCUUUAAAAAAGAUAUAUCUUUUUAUAUUCAUUGAUUUUUUUUCUUAACAUUAAUUAAUUAAUAUGAAUAAUAUAUUACUUUAUUUAAAUUAUUAACUUCCUUAUUUAUGUAGUAUGAUUAAGGAAAUGAUUAAAAUUGAUUUCCUUAAUUAUAUGGAUAUGUUAGAAAAUUUUCUAAUUAAUUAAAUUAUUAAUUGAUUUAUUUCUAAUGAGUGAUGUAACUUUUAGGAAGUAAAAAGUUUAUAUUUUAUUUUUGUGUUUUAACCAUAAGAAAUAAAUAUUAUAUUUUUAUCUUUGUGUGUGAAAGUAAAAUAAAAUUAAAUCAUUACUAACGGAGAGCUCAUCUUGUAGGCUCCUCCUCUUUUAUUUCUCUUGUUUUGAAAUAUUUAAUAUUAUGAUUAUUAUAAUUUUAUGAUAUAUAAUAAUAUUUUUAUUUUUUAAUUUUUAUGAUUAAUAAAUAAUGAUAAUUGAUUUAUGAUGUUUGAAUGAUUAUUUUACUUAUAAUGGUCUCUUAAGCUUAAGUGAAUUUUAAAAUUGAUUUAAUUGUUAAAAAUUUUAUUUUUGAAUUAACAUAAUAAUUUUAAUUUUUAAUUAGAUCUAUAUGUGUUUUAAGAAUUAUGUGUGAAUUUCUAUAAUUUAAUUAGUUUUAAAUUUAAGAUCAUGAAUUUAAAUUUUUUAAUUCAUAGGUUUAAAUUACUCUAUAAUAAUUUAAAAUAUUAAAAUAUAAUUUAAUAAAAUGAGUCUGAGUAGGUCUGACGUAAGUCAUGUUGAUUUGUUAAAUUGGGUCGACCCGACCCUUGUGGUCAUGUAUGACCCAACUUAUCUGACUAUACAUGAAUUAGCUUACGUAGUCAUGUACACCAAAUUCAUGUGGUUAGGCAUGAUCUAGCCCAUGUAGCCAUGUAUGAUCUAGCCCAUAUGACUCAAAUUUAUAUGGCCAAGCAUGAUAACCUAGCUCAUUUAGUUAUGUAUAACAUAGCAUAUGUGACGAAGCAUGACCCAACCCAUAUAGCCAUGUCUGACUCAACUAAUAUGGUCAGGCAUGACCUAGCCCAUGUAGCCACGACUCAACCUAUAUAGUCAAAUACGACUCAACUCAUGUGAUUAUGUAGGACCCAACUCAUAUGAUAAAAUAUGACAACUCAUGUGGCCAAGCAUAACCCAACUCAUAUGAUCAUGUAUAACCCAACCCAUAUGGUAAUAUAUGACUCAACCCAUAUGACCAAGCAUAAUCCAACUUAUGUGGCCAAGUACGACUCAAUUGAUGUGAUCGGAUAUAACCCAAACUCAUGUGUCGAUGUAUGACCUAACCCGUGAACUAAGCGUAACCUAAUUUAGUGGUAAGGCUCAGCUCAGUCCACGAAGUUCAGCCUACCCAACUAUGCGAUUGGUGUUAGGCACAUUAUCGUUCCUCUAUACAUCCCAUUGUACCUCAACCUAACAUAUUAUUUGGGAUAGGCAUGUGCAGCGCACAUGACUCAUUUAAGACUCAUAUGAGUUGAUUUGGUUUGACUUAGCACUAUACAACAUAGUCUAAUUUCCUAUCUUAUUAUUGGUUUAAGCUCGUUAAUUGACUGAAUCAUAAUAUUUUAUUGAUUCAAACAGAUUUUGGGUGAUUUUAGACCAACUUGACUAGUUCAAAACUACUUGCCCUAAUCGAAAUCAAUCAAAUCUAAAUUGACCAGUCUAUGGUAAUUCAAUAUCAGUCCUAUAAGGAUUUGAUAUUGGUUUCGUUAGCUCCUAAUUGAAUAGAAUUUUGUUCAAGUUAAUUGAGCUAUUCCAAUUAGGUUUUGGUUGAUUGAGAAUUAAGUCAUUGAUUUCUUAUGUUUUUAUGAUUUGAUGAAUUUAAAAAUUUUAUUUGAAAGUAUUAUUUGAAAAUGAUUAUUAGUUUUUAACUUUUUAAGUUUAUGAUAUUAAUAUGAUUGUUACAUGUAGUAUAUGUAACUAUGUUAGUGGUCUACAUUACAAGGGUAACCUAUGAAAGGAGUUGCAUGCCUAUUAUAGUAUGGAGCAACUAAUGGAUAUAGUUUAACAGAUUAUACAUAAAAUAUGGUUCCUCAUAGUAUUUUAUUAUACUAUUUCUUGGAUACAUGUGUAAAUGAAUGGAUUAAUGAUCAUGGCUAUUUAUGUAUCUCUUUUGAGGAUAGGUAAAUAUCUCUUUUGAGGAUAGGUAAAGUGACUCCAUUCGGAGAUUAGCAAGCUAUCAAAUAUGAUAGUUAGAUUAUUCAUAUUUGUGUAUACGAGAGAUAUCACUCUAUCCAUUAUUGGGAAUAUGAUAUGGGUUCUCUCUAUCUACCGUUGAAGUGAAUUCAUCCCAUUGAGUAUGUCUUUCCAUUCGUUAUUGGGAGAGUACACCAUCGAGUGUAAUGUACGUCUUUGUUAUGUAUGUGUUGUAUAUAACUAAUGUAUAUUUUUAUUUAUUACAUAAGAAUUAUCAUUAUUUUUUUGAUGUAUGAUUUUUAAUGAAUCAAUAAAUUAUUAUUUCAUAUUAAAUUAUUGAUAUUUACAUAUGUUUCAUAAAUAUUGAAGAUUAUUUUUAUAAUUUUUUAAAUAUUCCUAGCAUGUGUGAUUAUUGAUAUAUUUUUAUCUUAUAUUUAUUUUCAGAAUAAUCUACUACUUGGUAAUAAAUCUAAGGUUUAGAUUUUAGAGACAUUUUCUUCGCUUUUAGUUUUACCACGAAGAUAGGGACUUGAAUUCAAGGAUGAAAAAAAUAAAGUGUCUUCUGUAAAUUAUGAAUGAUAAAAUAAUAAUUUAAUUUUUUUUAUAAAUAUGAUAUGUGAUAAUUUAAUGAUAUCAUAACAAUGAUUUUGACGAUCUAUUAGAAUAUAAGAUUUUAGGGUUAAAAUAUUAGAUAGGCCAAUUAGUUUUUGAGAUUUAGAUUUUAAAAAUUAUAUAAUAAUACAACUAAAGCAUUUUAAAAAUAUUAAGAUCAUUUUAUUGAGUCAAAUAUUAUUUAUUUAUUUUUUGUAAGAAAAUGAUUAGUUAAAAAUGUUACAUAAAAGAGAAUCUUGAUGGGUGCAAUAGCCAUAUGGGAGUUGGUAGACUUGACUACGCGCACCGACACCUUGUCAAUCAUCUUUUUUUUUUUCCGUAUAUUAUUUUCUAAUUAAAGAAUAGGUCAGUUUCGGAUGGAUCUAUUUGGAUCAUAGCUUAAGUGAAUGAACAUCUUUCGUGUGUGUAUAUAUAUAUAAAGGUAUUUAAAAUAAAUAAAUCGAUUAAUUGAUUAAUCAAACCGAAUUAAUAAGUUUCGAAACGAUUUGAUUAGAUAAAAUUAGAAUUAAUUUUGAUUCAAACUAUCUUAUCUAAAUUGAAUCGAAAAAAACAAUUCGGUUCGGUCCGAUUUGAAUGCAUCUGAUCACCCGGAAACCAGCUGAUAAGAGGAUAAGACCCCGACAUUGUGUUGUCAUCCCCGUCAACGUGGAUAAGCACAUCGAACUAAUGUGCAUCCGCUAGCAAGGAGACUGACGGAACUAAUGUACUAAUUGGGCUCAUUAAAUUAUUUAUUUAUUUAAUCUAAAUUAAUUAUUUUUAUAUAUUGUUUUUCGGCUUAUUAAAGACAUGAGAGAGAGAGAGAGAGAGAGAGAUGAGAGGGUGGCUGAAGUCAAUAGUUUUGUUGCCAAAGCGUUCACGUGGCUACAAAUCAGAAGAACAGAGAACGCGGAGGACGAGAGAGAGAGAGAGAGAGAGAGAGAGAUGAGAGGGUGGUCAAUAGUUUUGUUGCCAAAGCGUUCACGUGGCUACAAAUCAGAAGAACAGAGAACGCGGAGGACGCGUCUCCAUUUUGCUUUCUCUCUUUCCCCGACGAAGAAGGUAGAAGGACCUAGAGACUUCCCUCCCUCACUCCUUAUACUCGAAAACUAUAAAAUCAUCUGAUACCACAUCAUACUUGUCACUGCUUUCUCCACUCCACCCUCUCUCCUUAUCGGUCGAAAUCUGCAAGAUGAAUCCACCAUCAGAGUCUCGCUCAAGUCAUCAGGUUCUUCUCAUCCCUUCUUCCUCUUCUUCUUCUUCUUCUGCAACCAAACCGGAGAAGUUCUCUCUCUCUGAAUCCACCAUCAGAGUCUCGCUCAAGGCCUCAGGUUCUUCUCAUCCCUUCUUCUUCUUCUUCUGCAACCAAACCGGAGAAGUUCUCUCUCUCUCUCUCUCUCUCUCUCACAGAUCUGCUCGCUCUUUCACAAACACCACUCCUCCUCGAUCCUCUUCUUCACUAAUUUGAUGUUUGAUUGUCUCGCAGCAACACGAAACCACUGUUCCUUCCACGACCGAGAUCCAGUUGCGGUCAACGGUCGAUGGCAUAUUUCAGAACUCAUGGGAAGCUGUAAGCACUCAGUUAGUUCCUUCUCAGAAUAAUAUGAAUCAUUGUUUAUUGUGCUACAACAAGAAUUUCUGCUUUUUUUUCCUUGAAUUUCCUGACACAUCUUUUUCUUUUUGGAUCCCCCAAACAAAUUUACAUAUGCAAGAAAUUAAGCUUCUUGGGAAGAUAUGCAACUUCUCAAGACUUGUUUAAGCCUCAAAAUAAAUUUUGAUAAGACAAAGACACGUGCAUUAGUUCUUCUUCUAUUUGCUUGCUAUAAACAACUUCCAACAAUAGGUUUUUCUGUAUCGGAUGGAAACAUGUAUUUAUUCAUUGCGUUGUCUUCUUCAUGUUUAUCCCUCCCUUUAGGUCUUCUAUUUCUUCUUUUCUCAAGAAUCUGAGGAUUUUGAUUUUGUCUAUCUUUGAUUCAGGCAGAAAGAGGUGAAGUUGCAAGAGGUCAUGAAACAUGUAGCUAUGAAUCCAAGUUGAAGCAAAUCCUACAGUUCGCCUUCAUUGAUAUAAUCAUCAGCUUAAUGGCAGUGUUUGCAGUUUUCAUAGCACAGCGAGAUCUGAAAGGCCAUGCAAACGAAUUGCACCUUCUUAUCUGCGGCUUCCUCACCACCUGCAGUCUUCUCUGUGGAGUAACCCUAAUGUUCUUCACCAUCAAUUUGCUAAGUCGCAAGGAUCACAGUGUCCACAGAGGCCAGCAUGUGACCACCGUUUUCCUCCUCGUCCUUUCAUGCGCUCUCCUCAUCCUUACAGCUGCUGG
rnacentral:lncRNA from 1 species